GACUCUUGACAGCGAAUAUCUCGGCCCUCGCAUCAAUGAAGAACAUAGAGAAAUGCGAUACUUGGUGUGAAUUGCAGAACUCCUUGAACCAUCGUGUCUUUGAACGUAAGUUGAGCCCGAAGCCAUUGGGCCGAGGGCACGCCUGCCUAGUCAUCA
rnacentral:rRNA from 2 species